AGAGUUUGAUCAUGGCUCAGGACGAACGCUGGCGGCGUGCUUAACACAUGCGAGUCGAACGGAAAGGCCCUUCGGGGUACUCGAGUGGCGAACGGGUGAGUAACACGUGGGUGAUCUGCCCUGCACUUUGGGAUAAGCCUGGGAAACUGGGUCUAAUACCGAAUAGGACCACGCGCUUCAUGGUGUGUGGUGGAAAGCUUUUGCGGUGUGGGAUGGGCCCGCGGCCUAUCAGCUUGUUGGUGGGGUAAUGGCCUACCAAGGCGACGACGGGUAGCCGGCCUGAGAGGGUGACCGGCCACACUGGGACUGAGAUACGGCCCAGACUCCUACGGGAGGCAGCAGUGGGGAAUAUUGCACAAUGGGCGCAAGCCUGAUGCAGCGACGCCGCGUGAGGGAUGACGGCCUUCGGGUUGUAAACCUCUUUCAAUAGGGACGAAGCGCAAGUGACGGUACCUAUAGAAGAAGCACCGGCCAACUACGUGCCAGCAGCCGCGGUAAUACGUAGGGUGCGAGCGUUGUCCGGAAUUACUGGGCGUAAAGAGCUCGUAGGUGGUUUGUCGCGUUGUUCGUGAAAACUCACAGCUUAACUGUGGGCGUGCGGGCGAUACGGGCAGACUAGAGUACUGCAGGGGAGACUGGAAUUCCUGGUGUAGCGGUGGAAUGCGCAGAUAUCAGGAGGAACACCGGUGGCGAAGGCGGGUCUCUGGGCAGUAACUGACGCUGAGGAGCGAAAGCGUGGGGAGCGAACAGGAUUAGAUACCCCGGUAGUCCAA
rnacentral:rRNA from 1 species